rnacentral:rRNA from 2 species
CUGGCCCAGGGAGGUCGGCAACGACCACCCAGGGCCGGAAAGUUGGUCAAACCCGGUCAUUUAGAGGAAGUAAAAGUCGUAACAAGGUCUCCGUAGGUGAACCUGCGGAGGGAUCAUU